rnacentral:sRNA from 1 species
AAGGACAACGUGUUCAUGGUGGAAAAAGUGCUGGACAAGCGAACUGGAAAAGCCGGCAGAGACGAAUUUCUCAUACAGUGGCAAGGAUUCCCCGAGUCUGACUCUAGCUGGGAGCCGAGAGAGAAUCUCCAGUGCGUCGAGAUGUUGGACGAGUUUGAGAGGGAAUUUUCAAAGGUUUUGAAGAAUUUUUUAAAGUUUAUUUUACUUGAAAUGGUCCUAAAAAGCGAAUUUCAUAGUGAAAAUUGUUUGAAAAAUCUUCGAUUUUGCCCACUUUUCCGUGCUGCAACUGUUUAAAUUAGAUUUUUGUUCGAUUAUUCUCCUAUUUUCACACGGAAAAGCUGGUAAACUUGAAGAUUUUAACUAAAAUUAGGUUUUUUAGAGUUAAAAUUACAAAGUCAUAAAAUCCGAUUUUUCUGCAACAAACUUAUUUUAUUUUUACAGAGAGAGAAACCAAUUCGCAAACGACACAGCCAGAAGCCCGAACCUUCCGAAGAUCAAGCGGAUCCAGAAGAGGAUAAAGAUGAAAAGAAGGAAACGAAUCAAAAUGACAAAUUCUCACUGGAAGGCAAGCAGUUAAAAUGCAUUGUCGGGCUCACCAAGGGACCUGGGGAACUUCAUUUUCUGUGCAAAUUCAGUGAUGACACGGCACGGCUUCUUCCAGCGAAGGAGGUGAACAGUCGG